AGAGAUGGCGCUGAAGAUUUGACACUAUUGAAAAACGUGCGCUCCUUAAACGUGUCCCCCGAAACAUAAACUGCGAAUCGAUCGGUGGUUCCUAUGAGCUCUGAGGAAAAGUGCUUUAUAAACAUGUCAGCGUAUUCAAGAUUGCAUUGAAGGUGCAUUUUUAUUUUCUGUAGAGUAUGAAUGCACACUCAAAUAUCGCGUGAGCACACAGCUAUCGACCUACAAACCACUGGUCGGACAGCGAUGGAUUCCCUGAACUUUGAGUCCGAGAUGGAAGCGGAUGGACAGGGCAGUUAUUCGCUGUUUCCGGCGCUGGACAGCAUGAGCAGCCUGACUGGAGCCGCCGAGAGUCUAGAUGCCGAGACCCCCAGUGAGGUAGCAG